UCGCACUCGAAAUACUCGAAUGCGCUCCGCAUUUUCCCGCGAUCUUUAUCGCUAAAAUGGCGAAUCUCGUGCACAAACAGUUAUUACGAGUGUUUCUCUGUUGUGACGCAUUAAACGUAGCAUGAAUUGCUGUUAUGUGAUUUCGAUAAUCCGAUCUGUGACCGGAGUCCACUGAACACAUUUUCUCUUCGCGCAUUUCACCGGAAUAGCAAUUCAUUGGGCGCAUAAUUAUUGCCAGGCGCAAGCACGUUUUCGUUCUGCAACUGAAUUGCGUCGAUUAUAUUUCUCAUAACAAUUCGCUAUUUCGAUCAUUUCUAUAAGUGGUUAAGAUUCGCGAGAUGGCUCUUGGAUAGUUCUCCUACUCCGCGGUCAGUUACGAGACGCGCCGCGGCGAUCGCUGAAUCGCAUUCGAAUCUGCUCCGUAUUUCUCACGAUUUUUUUAUUGUCUAAAAGUGUGAGUCUCGCGCGCGAAGUUAUCGCGAGUGCUUCUCGUAAAAUCGGAUUUGCGUCGUAACGCAUCGAGUGUGUGAAAUUGCUACUAUUGUGUUUUCGACGUUCCGCGCUGUAUAGAGAGUCUGCUGGGCAUGUCCUCUUCCCGCAAUUCGAUGUACAUCGCAUUAUUACCAGGUGUAAUCUGUCAGUCGACAAUGAUCGACGAAUACAAGCACGAAUACAAGCGUCAUCGAAUUUCACGUAAGAAUUUCGCCACCCCCGCGCGAGAGUGUCGAGGUGCGCGAACUUUCAGCACGUAUGUACCUACUUAAAGCGUGCGCGCGCUUGCGAGAGAGAGAGAGAGAGAGAGAAAGAGGGAGAGUUUGAGUAUACGAUGCGAUGCGGUGCGGAGCGGUACGGCGGAACAUACCCGCCGGAACGGAAAGGGGCGGAAAGCGACGAGCGCCGCCGAGACGAGACGAGACGCGACGAGGAAAGACGACGAGGGCCGACGAGGGUCGCGCACCGCGGCGCUGAACGCAGUGCCAUCCGAUAGGCAGCACCGCUUGCUCCGCGAAUCUUCGGUUCGCUCCGGGUUCGAGCUCUCCCUGCGCUCGUUCAAGCUCCGCCACGCUCGCCUCCUCUCUCUCUUUCUCUUACUUUUUUAUUCUCUUCCACUCUCUUCUCUCACGCAUUUUCGUUCACGCACUUUCGUUCUUUCUGCACUCUCUUUCUUUCUCUUUCUCUGUCUCAAAUCCGCUGUAUCGGCGUGGCGCGGCCGCGGCAGCCGCGACGACGACAACGGAGGAAACGUCCAAGUCAACGCGGGUGGAAAACGCGGGACGCGUGCAGCGAGAACACAUCGCUUCGCGUGUGUCCGGCGGCCGCGUGUGUGCGCGCAGCAGGCCUAUACGUGUGUGAGCGCCCGGCGUGCCGUCCGCCUCGCUGCAUUGCGAGCGUGUACGUCGUCGUUCUUCGUCACGCUCUACCCACGAAGAGAGGAGGCUCCCUUCCCCCGGCCUGGAUGCGCGGCAGUCUGUAUGAUUGCGCUGUAGUCUUCUGAACAUUAUUCGGACAGCGUCCGUAGACAACGAGGGCGCGGAGAAGGAAGCGGAGGCGUGAAGCGCGAGCGGAAGAUGCCGCGUGACACAGUCGGGCAAGGCCGAUGCGCCGAGCAUCGUCGGGACGCGAAUCGCGGCACCGACUGUUCACGGGGUGCG